GCAAGUCGAGCGGGAUUCUAGAAGCUUGCUUUUAGAUGAGAGCGGCGGACGGGUGAGUAACACGUGAACAACCUGUCCCGAAGCCGGGAAUAGCCCUCCUAACGGGGGAUUAAUACCGGAUAUAGUAGGAAGCUUCAUGGCUUCCAUACAAAAGGCGCUUCGGCGUCGCUUCGGGAGGGGUUCGCGGAGGAUUAGCUAGUAGGCGGGGUAACGGCCCACCUAGGCAACGAUCCAUAGCCGGCCUGAGAGGGUGAAC
rnacentral:rRNA from 1 species